rnacentral:lncRNA from 1 species
AAUAGAAAGAAGCAGGGGAAUUUCUGAGACACCUCUGCGAGUUCGUUAGGCAUGCAAGAUUAAACUCGAAUUCAUCUCGGCCCAGCCAGACGCAUUCAGAAACUGAAUUGCCAGGGAUUGAAUUUUCAGCCUCUCUGCGUUCACCAUGAAGAUGAGGGGGACCCAGACAAACAAGCAGCAAGCUGCUCAUCAGAGAACAGAGUCUAUGGCCCAAGGAAUCUUGACCAGCUUGGACUCAUCACAUGAAAACCUAGGGUGUACACAGCUCAACCGCCUGCUGUGAGUCGCCUAAAGUCAUGUCUUGUUUCCUCAGUUUCCUCACCUGUAAAUUGAAGAAAAUGACAGCAUGCCUGCUGCUGUCUGUUGUGGAGAACAAAUAAAUAGCUACUACAUAAGGAUAGCAGGGCUGCUGGUGUGUGGAGAAUGCUCACAGACUCCAUGGCAUAAGAUAAUUCAAGGACAGAAGAUCAAAAAGAGGAAGGACCUGGAAAAAGAAGAGAGAUUGAGGAGAAUGGAAACACUACCUCCUGAGGAGGUUCAGAAGAUCAGUGUGAGGCUCAGAAAACUCCAGAAACUAUAAACUUAAAAGGACCAGCCCUGAAGCUACAGAAACAAGCAUCACUUGCUAGGGGAGAAGAGACUUUCCCUGAGCUGUCUGCAAGUAGACAGGAACUCCAGGGAUACAGCUUUCUGGGUG